AUUGAACGCUGGCGGCAUGCCUUACACAUGCAAGUCGAACGGCAGCGGGCCUUCGGGUGCCGGCGAGUGGCGAACGGGUGAGUAAUGCAUCGGAACGUGCCAUUGAGUGGGGGGAUAACGUAGCGAAAGUUACGCUAAUACCGCAUAUUCUGUGAGCAGGAAAGCAGGGGACCGCAAGGCCUUGCGCUCUUUGAGCGGCCGAUGUCAGAUUAGCUAGUUGGUGAGGUAAAGGCUUACCAAGGCGACGAUCUGUAGCGGGUCUGAGAGGAUGAUCGCCACACUGGAACUGAGACACGGUCCAGACUCCUACGGGAGGCAGCAAUGGGGAAUUUUGGACAAUGGCGCAAGCCUGAUCCAGCCAUGCCGCGUGAGUGAAG
rnacentral:rRNA from 1 species